ACACUACUGGUGGGUAGCAAAACAGCAGCUAGAAUCUAUAGCUUCUGGCUUUCCAGCCAGUCCUUGUUCCACUACAUUCAUUACUUCUUUGCUGGACUGAAAAGCUUAGGACUUUUCCUGUAAGUAAUACGGAGCCAUUGAAGAUCUGAAGUUUCAAGGAAGUGGUAGGAUGGAUUCUCUUUUACUAUAAGGUUGUGAGGGAAGAAGUUGCCUCUUCUCAUGGGUGCUUUCCCGUUGGUGCCCAGUGGACAGGCUUCCACAGCCUCUCAUGGUAUUUGUCAGAUGAAUGAACAAAUGAAAAGAGAAAAGAACACACUGAAGAGUUCUGUCGCAGCUGAGGCUGCCCUGGGCUGAAUAUGUCAUCUUCUUCCAGAAGCCAUGGUCCUCCUCAGUGCCUUCUAAGGCAAGCCACACGUGGGGACUUUGGCUUUACAGGGUAUGGCCUCCAAUCAUCCCCCAGGGGAACUGCCCUGCCCACAAGCCCAGCCAUGCUCUUCCAGCAUGUCCCCCUAAAUGCCUUCUCCUCCACUACGAGGCCCUUCCUGAUAAGUACCUCGGCCCUCCAGGCCC
rnacentral:lncRNA from 1 species